rnacentral:rRNA from 1 species
CCUACGGGUGGCAGCAGUGAGGAAUAUUGGUCAAUGGGCGCGAGCCUGAACCAGCCAAGUCGCGUGGGGGAAGACGGUCCUAUGGAUUGUAAACCUCUUUUGUCGGGGAGCAAAAGACGCCACGCGUGGCGUUCCGAGAGUACCCGAAGAACAAGCAUCGGCUAACUCCGUGCCAGCAGCCGCGGUAAUACGGCGGAUGCGAGCGUUAUCCGGAUUUAUUGGGUUUAAAGGGUGUGCAGGCGGAAGGUCAAGUCAGCGGUAAAAUUGAGAGGCUCAACCUCUUCGAGCCGUUGAAACUGGUUGUCUUGAGUGAGUGAGAAGUAUGCGGAAUGCGUGGUGUAGCGGUGAAAUGCAUAGAUAUCGCGCAGAACUCCGAUUGCGAAGGCAGCAUACCGGCGCUCAACUGACGCUGAUGCACGAAAGUGUGGGUAUCGAACAGGAUUAGAUACCCUAGUAGUC